GACGAACGCUGGCGGCGUGCUUAACACAUGCAAGUCGAACGGAAAGGCCCUGCUUUUGUGGGGUGCUCGAGUGGCGAACGGGUGAGUAACACGUGAGUAACCUGCCCUUGACUUUGGGAUAACUUCAGGAAACUGGGGCUAAUACCGGAUAGGAGCUCCUGCUGCAUGGUGGGGGUUGGAAAGUUUCGGCGGUUGGGGAUGGACUCGCGGCUUAUCAGCUUGUUGGUGGGGUAGUGGCUUACCAAGGCUUUGACGGGUAGCCGGCCUGAGAGGGUGACCGGCCACAUUGGGACUGAGAUACGGCCCAGACUGCUACGUGAGGCAGCAGUGGGGAAUAUUGCACAAUGGGCGGAAGCCUGAUGAAGCAACGCCGCGUACGGGGUGACGGCCUUCGGGUUGUAAACCGCUUUCGCCUGGGACGAAGCGUGAGUGACGGUAAUGGGUAAAGAAGCACCGGCUAACUACGUG
rnacentral:rRNA from 1 species